CUUAUCCACUUUUUCCCUAGGUGUCCCCACCACCAAGCACAGUGCCUGGUACAGGAUGAAGAUCCUGAAGCAUAGAGAUGUCGAUAGACCAUUUGCUCAAGCAGCCCUACCCCUGAAGAUGUGUUUAAAGAAUCGGACAAAUGAUUAUUUGUGUAUGGGGGGGCACAGUUUAGUACUAAAAUGCUAGUCAAAAAUAGCAUGUAAAUUGGAAGGAGAGUGAUCUAAGUUCAGGGGUCCUAAUAUUUGUCAGGAGGAGAAACUAAAUUAACUUUAGGAUUUAUUAAGUGUGCACGUUAAAAUAAGUAGCAUAAUGGCUAAAAGAAUAGACAUAUAAUGUAUAACUCAAACAAAGGGGAGUGAGGCAGGGAAAUAAAAUG